rnacentral:rRNA from 1 species
CUACGGGUGGCAGCAGUGGGGAAUAUUGCACAAUGGGCGCAAGCCUGAUGCAGCCAUGCCGCGUGUGUGAAGAAGGCCUUCGGGUUGUAAAGCACUUUCAGCGGGGAGGAAGGCGGUGAGGUUAAUAACCUCAUCGAUUGACGUUACCCGCAGAAGAAGCACCGGCUAACUCCGUGCCAGCAGCCGCGGUAAUACGGAGGGUGCAAGCGUUAAUCGGAAUUACUGGGCGUAAAGCGCACGCAGGCGGUCUGUCAAGUCGGAUGUGAAAUCCCCGGGCUCAACCUGGGAACUGCAUUCGAAACUGGCAGGCUAGAGUCUUGUAGAGGGGGGUAGAAUUCCAGGUGUAGCGGUGAAAUGCGUAGAGAUCUGGAGGAAGACCAGUGGCGAAGGCGGCCCCCUGGACAAAGACUGACGCUCAGGUGCGAAAGCGUGGGGAGCAAACAGGAUUAGAACCCGUGUAGUC